AAUGUUCCCCAGUAGUGAUGAUGAGGAUGGGGUUGAGAUGAAUCCAGAUAUUCCACCCUGUGAAAACCCAGACAAGUUUGCAAUGUUCCCCAGUAGUGAUGAUGAGGAUGGGGUUGAGAUGAAUCCAGAUACUCCACCCUGUGAAAACCCAGACAAGUUUGCAAUGUUCCCCAGUAGUGAUGAUGAGGAUGGGGUUGAGAUGAAUCCAGAUACUCCACCCUGUGAAAAACC